rnacentral:rRNA from 1 species
UGGGGAAUCUUGGACAAUGGGCGCAAGCCUGAUCCAGCCAUGCCGCGUGGAUGAUGAAGGCCUUAGGGUUGUAAAAUCCUUUCGCCGAGGACGAUAAUGACGGUACUCGGAGAAGAAGCUCCGGCUAACUUCGUGCCAGCAGCCGCGGUAAUACGAAGGGGGCUAGCGUUGUUCGGAUUUACUGGGCGUAAAGCGCGUGUAGGCGGGUCGUUAAGUUGGGGGUGAAAUCCCGAGGCUCAACCUCGGAACUGCCUUCAAAACUGGCGACCUGGACCUAAGUAGAGGCAAGUGGAAUUGCGAGUGUAGAGGUGAAAUUCGUAGAUAUUCGCAGGAACACCAGUGGCGAAGGCGACUUGCUGGACUUAUGGUGACGCUGAGACGCGAAAGCGUGGGGAGCAAACAGGAUUAGAUACCCGCGUAGUCCCUGAGCGGGCUGGCAAGGCGCAU